ACACAUGCAUGCACACACACACACACACACACACACACACUCACACACACUCACACGCAGAUUUGAACCACUGCCCGUUCUACACUGAAAAAAAGGAGACUGGCCUACUCUUGGAUUUAUGUAAAUGUCUUGGAUGCAUUUAACACAAUUAACUCAUGUUUUAAAGUUAAACGUAACUCUAUAGUGUAGAAACUACAUAAUAUGCAAAGAGGGCACGUGAAUUUGUUCAGAUCAUGUUGGCAUGAAGUGAGUCAAUAAAGAAGCGAUGUAAUUCUCGUGAUACCGCACGUGAUCUCGUCUGGCGCGCUUUACAUUGUUGCCAGAAGAAGCAGGCAACGGUCACAUCAAAGGGCUCGUCGUACUGUACUCCACGCCACUAUUCGGUCGAUUGACAGACAAACUCAACUCUGCAUUUCACCUGGAGUCAGUUGAUGGAUCGUGGGCUCAAGUUUUUGUGGGCUAGAAGUUUAAUGAGGUUGUAACGUGAGUGUUCUCGGAUUGCAAAUUUCAAACAACCGCCCUUUUUGAUGCAACGGAGAUAAACGCAGAGUUUAAGAGCAUCCCAGCCAUGCCUCUACAAUCAAAGUGUUUGCAAAGCGGCCGGGGAGCAGGGAAAAAAGCUGAAAGUCAUAUCUGCCAUGAUGACAGAUGACAUUGAUGCCAGAAGGGAGUCCCACAUUAAAGGACUGCAUCUAUCUGAAUGAGAAUCCCAACGUCUUGGAGCGGGAGUACACGGACAUGACUGAGGCCACUGC